UACGUAGGUGGCAAGCGUUGUCCGGAUUUACUGGGCGUAAAGGGAGCGUAGGCGGACUUUUAAGUGAGAUGUGAAAUACCCGGGCUCAACUUGGGUGCUGCAUUUCAAACUGGAAGUCUAGAGUGCAGGAGAGGAGAAUGGAAUUCCUAGUGUAGCGGUGAAAUGCGUAGAGAUUAGGAAGAACACCAGUGGCGAAGGCGAUUCUCUGGACUGUAACUGACGCUGAGGCUCGAAAGCGUGGGGAGCAAACAGGAUUAGAUACCCU
rnacentral:rRNA from 1 species